AGAGUAAUUUAAUUAAUACCCUUUUUAUAACCUAUUUUAAUCCCUCAGUUUUCAGCACCAGUGUUUCCCCCAUGGGGACCUUCCACACUGGGACUAGUUCUGGUCUACCAACACGGGUGCAGUCCCAUAGAUAGCUCCAGCCUGGGUGGCUGGAGGGCUCUGCACCCCUGUGUGGAGCCUCCUGUCUGCCCGGGCCAGGGUGGUCACUGUGGCGGCACUCCCUAUGGUCGUGGGCGAUGACCCCUCUCAGUCUGGAUGGCCCCCAAAAGUGACUUUCUUUGGCUCAGGGUCAGCCUCUGUGAAGCACGUUGUGUAACUUUAUGACGUCAGCCAAGAAGCAGUGAAAGAGGACUGCAGUAAUCACAUGAUGCAGAUCAACGUCAUCCAUCCCAAUGUGGCACAGGAAAACCAAGAUCCUGUGUAUGUGUCAGUCAUCAUCAAGUGUGACAAACGCUUGCCUCCUGCUCAUGGGUGUCAUCUAUGCUGUAAACUUAAGUUACCCACUUAAACUGAAAUAUACGUUUGAAGUAUUUCAGAAGCUGUUUCUUGAGCUUGACGUCAUUACAAUGUCACCAAAGGUCCAGUUUCUCCACAAUAAACUUUUAGCGUGAGUGUUCCAGUGCUAUUUGUGCUUUUGUCCAGCACAAACAAUCUCUUUACUUUUGUCAUUUUUCUGACUGAAAUUUCAAGUUUUGCUUAGUUUUUAAGUUAUUUCUGUCCUGAACAUCCUGAGAAUGUCUGCAAAGGUAGCCAUUGCAGUUUAUGUAUGCAUUCUUUGCUGUUCUGAAAAGUCAACUGUAACACUGUAUUCGUUUGUAUGCUGGAAUAUCAGUCCUAAAGUCAGUUGGUGCUUUGUCAUUCCGCAUUGAAUUUUUCAAAUCCUAAACGGCUUUACUUUUGAGCUUUUGUGUGUGUGUGUGCACUGUUUUCAAAUUUGCUAGCAGGAAGUUCUGUGUGGUUAUGUUAUGUAUUUUAAAUACAUCUAUGCCAUUUCAAAUGUGAAAUAAAAGUGUAUUUCAAACAUC